rnacentral:rRNA from 1 species
ACGAACGCUGGCGGCAUGCCUAACACAUGCAAGUCGAACGGAGAAUGUCAAAUGAAGUUUUCGGAUGGAUUUUGGUAUUCUUAGUGGCGGACGGGUGAGUAACGCGUGAGAAACCUGCCUUUCAGUGGGGGACAACAGUUGGAAACGACUGCUAAUACCGCAUAAUGUAUUUUGGGGGCAUCCCUUGAAUACCAAAGCUUUAUGUGCUGAAAGAUGGUCUCGCGUCUGAUUAGCUAGUUGGUGAGGUAACGGCUCACCAAGGCGACGAUCAGUAGCCGGUCUGAGAGGAUGAACGGCCACAUUGGGACUGAGAUACGGCCCAGACUCCUACGGGAGGCAGCAGUGGGGAAUAUUGGGCAAUGGGGGAAACCCUGACCCAGCAACGCCGCGUGAAGGAAGAAGGCCUUCGGGUUGUAAACUUCUUUUAGCAGGGACGAAGAACGUGACGGUACCUGCAGAAAAAGCAACGGCUAACUACGUG